UACGGAGGGUGCAAACGUUGCUCGGAAUUAUUGGGCGUAAAGCGCACGUAGGCGGCUUUGCAAGUCGGAUGUGAAAUCCCUCGGCUUAACCAAGGAAGUGCAUCCGAAACUGCAGAGCUUGAGUACUUAAGAGGAUCGCGGAAUUCCCGGUGUAGAGGUGAAAUUCGUAGAUAUCGGGAGGAACACCAGUGGCGAAGGCGGCGAUCUGGGAAGAUACUGACGCUGAGGUGCGAAAGCGUGGGGAGCAAACAGG
rnacentral:rRNA from 1 species